ensembl:rRNA 5S_rRNA 5S ribosomal RNA
GUCUACGACCAUACCACCCUGAACGCGCCCGAUCUCGUCUGAUCUUGGAAGCUGAGCAGGGUCGGGCCUGGUUAGUACUUAGUACUUAGAUGGGACAUAGACA